rnacentral:lncRNA from 1 species
AAGUGGAUGUACGAAAUUGUCGGUCGCCAUUGUUUUGUAAUCUUAUUUUAUUGUCCAUCGAUGGAGCUUUCUAACUUGUACAUUUAUACUACUGUGUAUGACAUGUUGAUUUUAUCCUGGCCGGGCAAAAUAUCACCAGCGUAAAAGAAGAUUUCUCCGGUAAUGAAAUAUAUCUAAAUUCGCACAUAUACACACACACACGCAUUUCCAAUAAGAUGUUAGACAGACUAUUUGUGUAAAGUUUUCUCUGACAAAAAUCAUCGGUGUCUCUGCGUUUUACAUUGUCUCACAAAUAAACUCAAGAGUUGGAGAUUGUGGUGAAAUUGACCUUUUAACCAUUCAGUCUACAUUAAAAUGUAAGUAUUAUAUCGAAUUAUUUGUAUAGGUCUAUCUUUUACCUUGUUUCAGUCAUUGGACUGCGGCCUUGAAGAAUUUUAGGCGAACGUAUCGACCUCAGUACUUGUUUGUAAACCGGUAUUAUUCUAUCGGUCUCUUUUGUCGAACCGCAAGGUUUUGGGGACGUAAACACACCAACACCCGUUGUCAGGCGGGGACGGAGGAGACAAAGGCAGACGCAAACACGCACACACGUACGACGGUCUUCUUUCAUUUUCCGUCUACUAAAUCCACUGGCAAGGCUUUGGUAGAAGACCCUUGUCCAGAUGAGGUGUACAUGAUCAAUUAAUUAACCAAUGAAAAAUAUAAUUUCAUUGGUCAUUAGAGAUGUUGACGGGUGUGGUACUGAAUGUAAACAGAACGGCCGCUAGAAUUUCAUUAAUUUCCACAUCUUCAUUGGCUUGUUAUCAAAUAACAUCAUUGGAGAAUAAUGCUUCCUCGAUACAUUGUCUGAAUAAAAGACGGGAUGGUCAUGGUUAUAAUGUUGUUCAUCAUGUCUGACCUGGGACUAAGCAACAAGAAAUAACGUUGCUUACGGAAGAAAAAUGUUAUGGUUUACUAUUGUGUAGUUUAAGAUAUGGUACACAAUAUGGAGUUUACAAAGCUGUAUGAUGUAAUCUUUAUAAAUGAGGUUUCCUUUUCAGUCUCUAUUGUUCAAGUUUGUCUUUAACAUUGUUUCUUUUAUUAUUUCAGAUGAUAAUGACUGAUAAUUACCUGCAAAUAACUCAAUGUUUGUCAUCUUUUAAAGAUGGUUUCCACAACUGAUAAAAUCCUGUUUAUAUAAAUCUAUGGUAAUUCCUCUGAAAUGAGAUUAUUUACAUUUCUCUACUUCACUCUCUGGAAUAAGUACAAGACAGCUUUAAUUAAACUUGGAUAAAUUUACUAAGAAGAUAAAGCUGGUUUUUCUUGAAAGAAACUUCGUUUUUGGAUAAGUCUGGAUAAAUGGAUCUAUUUUAGCGUUACCAUACGUAUUUCUUAUUACAUAACAGUUCUUUUGUAAUAAACUAUAUUGGAAUACUUUCUCAGAAAUGUUUUCUUGUGAUAAAUCACCUUGUAAGUAACAAUUU